CGUUCUGAUCGAUCCCCGCCACCGUCCGCGUGAUCGCGCUUCGCUAGGGUUCGUUCGAGAGAUGAAACAGUCAGCUGUGUCCGUGGUAGUUAGUUGUCUUCAUCAGAGAACUUGCUAGAAUUAUCUGUGCUGCACCUGCUAUUCUGCUCUGGAUCAAAUUGAACCUGAAUCGCUGUUACGUAGUACUAGUAUAAAUUAUAAAAUUUCGGUGAUGUGAUUGUUGAUCUCCGUGUGGAUUCUGGGUUGUGAUGUGGGGGUGUGGAUCUUGGUGGCUGCAUUGCUUGUGAAAAAGGCGAUCCUUUUUGCGUCCUCAUGAGAUGCUGUGGGCAUAACAUGCAGCAGGGAUUUGUGUUCUCUGUUCAUGUUCUUCAGGCAAAUCAUCAGAGGUGUGUGAUAUGAUCUGGAUGCCUCUCGGUAAUCGCUCUAAUUGGGGAAUAUCUCGUCUUGUCAUCAAUGAUUUCAAAGUUUCACUGGGCAUGCUUCUGUUGUUCAACAAUGGGCUCACAGUGGCUAAAUUUUUCAGGUAGAAUCACUCUUGGUGUUUCAUAUUUUAGGUUAUGUGCAUACCUACAGUGGCGGAGCUUAGUGAGGGCCAAAGGGGGCAAUGGCCCUCCAAAUUUAUUUCUUUGUAUAAACUCAUAGUAAUAUUUAAUAAUAUUUGGACAAACUUUAAUAGAAUACACUAGAUUAGGCCCCUCAACUCUAUUUAAGACUCAUUUAGCCCCCUCUCAAAUCGCGUUCAAGCUCCGCCGCUGCAUACGUAUUUGGCAUUGUUCAUCCCAGUUUGCUAUCAGUAUAUCCUUGAGCUUGCGCUUAUGUGUCUUCACUUUUAUGUGAUCUUUGUUGUCGCUCAACUUUUGAGGUUCCUACAAUUACCACUGGUAUUUCCGUGAUGCUAUUUUACUGGGAAUCAAUAAUCUGUGGUGUGUUGUUCAUCCAAGUUGUUACUUGUAUGCCCUGAGCUUGCUUUUAUGUCAUCUUUGUUAUUGCCAGCCCUCUUUCAAGAUUCGUACAAUUGCUGCUGGUAUUUUUGCAAUGCUGUUUUUACUGGGAAUCAAUAACUGCUGGUAUCUCAUAUCUGUAUUUUCGAUGUCGGACAUGUGAAAUGUCGAUCUGGCGUGCUGCUUGGCCCUUGUGCAACAUGUGAUCGUUUCAACUUCGUGAGGUGGUGUCAAUCAUAGGUAGAGGAGUGUUCUUUUGUGCCCAUUUGUCUGGGCAGUUGAUUAAUUAUCGUGGCUUGUGAUCAUUUUAUGGAUGCCUGAAAAUGCCAGUGAAAAAAUGCCUGUUUUCAGUGUUUUGGAAGCUGCACCUUUGAUGCUUGUACUCUUGUUCUUCAUUUUGUAAAUGAUGCCUGAAAAUGCCAGUGAAAAAAUGCCUGUUUUCAGUGUUUUGGAAGCUGCACCUUUGAUGCUUGUACUCUUGUUCUUCAUUUUGUUCCAUAAUGGGAUCGUUCUGCCUCUUGCAGUUUGUCGUGCGCUUCAGUGUUCCGUUCAAUUUCAACGUGUUCUGCCACGUGUGUUAUUGAAUUGAAGAGUAUUUUCCUUUAGCAUGGCGCUCUUCAUUGGUGUCAUUCGUUCAAGAAUUAGAGUGUUGUAGGUUGUUAGCAUACAUAUCUUGACCUUGUUCAUCCAAGGUAGGUGUUAUAUGCAUUUCCCUAGCUUUUGGUUAUAUCAGCUGACUUUUAAUUGCAGUAAGCUUCGUGUUUUUUUUCGUCAGUUCUACUAAUGGUGGUCUUAUCUCAACCCUCGAGAUUUGUCCACGGUGUAGAACCUGGUUAUGGUUGGAAUGUCAAUUUUGUUAACACCCUUUGUUUACGGAACAACUUUUGAUAUAUUGAAGAAUUUCAAUCACUUUAUAACUUGCGUGUGCCAGAUAGGUUGGAUCUCAGUUGCUUCAAUGAAGGAUAUUCGCUGACCACCUUUUUUUUCUGAACUGGUGUUGAUCAGCUUUUGUUUUCCUGAAUAAAAAAACGUGAUUGACAUGGUAAUGUUGUUUUCAAGGACAAAAGGAGUUCGAAUCCAUUUUCUGCAAAGAUUUUUAAAAAGUGUGUGCUUUAAGGAUAAGAAUGUGCAAAUACCCUAGUUACAUAUAUAUAUAUUCCACAGUGCUAUAGUGCCACAUAAGUCUCCAAAAUGUAAGAUUGGUCCAACCGAAAAACGGGAACUGCAGUCAGCGUGUAUAGACUGCAGGUUAAAGCAUGACAAUACAUUCGAAUUAUUCCAAGCUAAGAUUGAAUACGAACAUGUUGAAUGCAAACCGCUUAAUACAGCCCAAAUUGAAUAUUCUGUAACAUGACUGAUAUGGGUGUGCAUGCCACUUGGUUUCUCUUAUUUGUGAAAAUUUUCACGACAUCUUCAGUGAGGUUCCAGACUAGAAGUGUUCCCGAGAGUCAUAGUGCGCUAACAUGAGCAGUAUAGAAAGCAUCAUUGUUGGAAUUUAUUAGUGCAAGUUUGCAGUUUGCAAACCAAACACUAAGGAUAUCAACCACGGUGAAAUAUUUAUUUACAACGCAAAUGCUCACUGCAUAAACAAACUAACUUGGUACAUACAUGCGAAAGCAAAACAUGAACGAAAAAGUAGAGCAAAGAGAUUUCUGCACUGCAUGACUGAAUGAACUACAGACAGGAAAGCUAGAAUUAAACUAAGCGACGGCAUUUUUGGAACCAUGGAAUAGAAGGUUAUACAGCAGCUGCUGAAAUGGCGGUUUUGAGCCUUUUGACGUCAUGUGCAGGUGAACGGGAGACGUUAUCCACGACAGGAUCGACCGAUGCAGGAGCCUUCUCUUCGUACGCCGCAUCAUGCACGCCAAGAGCGGCGCGGCCAGACGGGUCGAGGAGCUCGGACCAGGCGGCGUCCCAUUCGACAGCUUUAGCGGUGCUGCAUGCGAUGCUGGGACCUCCUGGCACCGUUAGCCUAGCAGCAUUCUGCACAAAUUGAAACGUUGAUUUAAGUUUUACGGUGCAGAUGAAAUAGGUCGGAAUAUAACUAUGAGAUUAAAGGCUGGUUGUGGCUUCUGGACCUUGGGAUAGAACUUCUCGAAUACGGUCCUGUAAUAGUAGGCCUCUUUUGUUGUGGGUGUGUUGUCAGGGUAAACAAAGCUGGCGUUCGUCAUCAUGGAAUCCGACACCUGAACAUAAAUAGGAGAUACUGUCAAUUCUGAUGAGGGUAAAAAGUGAAACAAAAGCAUUGUAAGACAAAUAAAUAAACAGAUGUCAGCUAAUGAAUUGUUUGACAAAGAAAAGAUGGUAUACAUGUGCUUUAGCAUGGUCCUUCAACCCAUCAAUCCAACUGUACCCAACACCAUCGCUGAAUUGUUCCUUUUGCCUAUAAAGAAUGUGCUGUUCACAGAAAAUAAAUCUUCCUUAUGAGCAUACGUACAAGCAUGUGCAAGUAACACAGCACAUAUAGCACAAUAAAAGGAUGAACUUCUCCAACCUUGGGUAAAUAGGGCUUCUCCUCGUCAUCAAAUGCAUUACGCAGAACCCAUUUCUCUAUCCGGCCAAGAUCACGUCUUAUCUAUUUUUUUCAAGAUGAUAAAGAUAAGAAGAUGGUAAUGCUAGAUAUAAUAAAUGAAUAGAGCUAGAGUGAGAUUACUAUAUUAUCGCAAGAAAAUACAUACCAUCUUACAUUCAGGAUCCAGGUCCAUUGCUACAUUGAUAAAGCUUUUGUCAAGAAAUGGAACACGAGCCUCAAGACCCCAGGCAGAAGUUGCUUUGUUUGCUCUCAAACAAUCAUAUAAAUGAAGAGCUUUUAUCUAAAUGUCAGGACAAAACAACUCUAGUAAGUCCAUCAGCUGACCAUGUUGUGCAUAUACACCAUGAUAAACUGAAAGAGCAGUUCUGUCUUCAAUUACCUUCCUACACGUCUCCUCAUGGAGUUCCUUCUUGUUUGGUGCCUUAUGAAAAUAAAGAUAACCACCAAAUAUUUCAUCAGAACCUUCUCCUGAAAGAACCAUCUUCACACCCAAUGAUUUGAUUUUCCGAGACAUUAGAAACAUUGGGGUACUUGCUCUAAUGGUCGUUACGUCGUACGUCUCUAUGUGGUAAAUAACUUCUUCCAAUGCAUCAAUGCCCUCCUGGGAUUUAGUCAGAUGAAUUAAUAACUACAAAAUGACCCCUCCUCUAUGCAAAGGACGAAAAAAAA
rnacentral:lncRNA from 1 species